rnacentral:rRNA from 1 species
CGCAGACAACCAGGAUGUUGGCUCAGAAGCAGCCACUCAUUCAAAGAGUGCGUAAUAGCUCACUGGUCGAGCGUCUUUGCGCGGAGAAUUUAACGGGGCUAAACCUGACACCGAAGCUUAGGCAAUACAGUAAUGUAUUGGGUAGGGGAGCGUUGUAUACGCGGAGAAACAGUAGCGUAAGCGGCUGUGGAGUGUAUAGAAGUGAGAAUGCCGGAAUGAGUAGCGCGAAUGCAGUGAGAAUCUGCAUGGCCGAAAGCCUCAGGUUUCUGGAGGAAGGUUCGUCCGCUCCAGGUUAGUCGGGAGCUAAGGUGAGGCCGGAAGGCGUAGCCGAUGCACAGACGGUAGAGAUUCCGUCACCACCAAAAGAGUUAAGCACAGGGACACAUUUGAAGUCUCAGAGCCGGGUGUUGGUUCCGGUAGAGAUCGAGGGAAAUUAGUACCGAAGUCUGAGAUGGAAGAUGGCGAGAAAAGCUGUGUGUAUUUCUGAGGUGCCCGUACCGCAAACCGACACAGGUAGGUAGGAAGAAGAUUCUAAGGCCAACGGGAGAAGGGUUGUUAAGGAACUCGGCAAAUUGACCCCGUAACUUCGGGAGAAGGGGUGCUCCAGAGAUGGAGCCGCAGAGAAUCGGCCCAAGCAACUGUUUACCAAAAACACAGGUUUGUGCUAAAUCGAAAGAUGACGUAUACGAGCUGACGCCUGCCCGGUGCUGGAAGGUUAAGAGGAGAUGUGCAAGCAUUGAAUCGAAGCCCCAGUGAACGGCGGCCGUAACUAUAACGGUCCUAAGGUAGCGAAAUUCCUUGUCAGGUAAGUUCUGACCCGCAUGAAAGGCGUAAUGAUUUGGGCACUGUCUCAACAGCCCGCCCGGCGAAAUUGUAGUACCGGUGAAGAUGCCGGUUACCCGCGACAAGACGGAAAGACCCCAUGGAGCUUUACUGUAGCCUAAUAUUGGGUUUCGAUGUUGCAUGCACAGGAUAGAUGGGACUCUUGGAAACCAAGGCUUUGGCUUUGGCGGAGAGGCCGUUGGGAUACCAUCCUUGCGAUAUUGGAAUUCUAACCUGCGGCUCUGAAUCGAGUCGGGGGACAUUGUUAGGUGGGCAGUUUGACUGGGGCGGUCGCCUCCUAAAAAGUAACGGAGGCGUUCAAAGGUUCGCUCAGCUUGAACGGAAAUCAAGCAAAAGAGUGCAAACGCAGAAGCGAGCCUAACUGCGAGACUGACGGGUCGAGCAGUAACGAAAGUUGGAGUUAGUGAUCCGGCGGUAUGUGAAUGGAAAUGCCGUCGCUCAACGGAUAAAAGCUACCCUGGGGAUAACAGGCUGAUCUCCCCCAAGAGUCCACAUCGACGGGGAGGUUUGGCACCUCGAUGUCGGCUCAUCGCAUCCUGGGGCUGUAUUCGGUCCCAAGGGUUUGGCUGUUCGCCAAUUAAAGCGGUACGCGAGCUGGGUUCAGAACGUCGUGAGACAGUUCGGUCCCUAU